GAGUUUGAUCUUGGCUCAGAUUGAACGCUGGCGGCAUGCCUUACACAUGCAAGUCGAACGGUAACAGGUCUUCGGAUGCUGACGAGUGGCGAACGGGUGAGUAAUACAUCGGAACGUGCCCAGACGUGGGGGGAUAACGAGGCGAAAGCUUUGCUAAUACCGCAUACGAUCUAAGGAUGAAAGCAGGGGACCGCAAGGCCUUGCGCGUUUGGAGCGGCCGAUGGCAGAUUAGGUAGUUGGUGGGAUAAAAGCUUACCAAGCCGACGAUCUGUAGCUGGUCUGAGAGGACGACCAGCCACACUGGGACUGAGACACGGCCCAGACUCCUACGGGAGGCAGCAGUGGGGAAUUUUGGACAAUGGGCGAAAGCCUGAUCCAGCAAUGCCGCGUGCAGGAUGAA
rnacentral:rRNA from 1 species